rnacentral:rRNA from 1 species
ACCCCGUCCGGCUGGACGCCGACCUUAUGUAAAGCUCCUUCGACGAGUCGAGUAGUUUGGGAAUGCUGCUCAAAAGGGGAGGUAUAUGUCUUCUAAAGCUAAAUAUUGGCCAGAGACCGAUAGCGCACAAGUAGAGUGAUCGAAAGAUGAAAAGCACUUUGAAGAGGGGGUUAAACAGUACGUGAAAUUGUUGAAAGGGAAGCGCUUAUGACCAGACUCGGGCUUGGCGAAUCAUCCAGCGUUCUCGCUGGUGCACUUUGCCUCGUCCAGGCCAGCAUCAGUUCGUCGCGGGGGAUAAAGCCUUUGGGAAUGUGGCUCCUCCGGGAGUGUUAUAGCCCAUUGCGCAAUGUCCUGCGGUGGACUGAGGUUCGCGCAUCUGCAAGGAUGCUGGCGUAAUGGUCAAUUAGCGACCCGUCUUGAAACACGGACCAAGGAGUCGUCUUCGUAUGCGAGUGUUCGGGCGUUAAACCCCUACGCGUAAUGAAAGUGAACGCAGGUGAGAGCUUCGGCGCAUCAUCGACCGAUCCUGAUGUCCUCGGAUGGAUUUGAGUAGGAGCAUACGGGGCCGGACCCGAAAGAAGGUGAACUAUGCCUGUAUAGGGUGAAGCCAGAGGAAACUCUGGUGGAGGCUCGCAGCGGUUCUGACGUGCAAAUCGAUCGUCGAAUAUGGGCAUGGGGGCGAAAGACUAAUCGAACCUUCUAGUAGCUGGUUUCCGCCGAAGUUUCCCUCAGGAUAGCAGUGUUGAACUCAGUUUUAUGAGGUAAAGCGAAUGAUUAGGGACUCGGGGGCGCUAUUUAGCCUUCAUCCAUUCUCAAACUUUAAAUAUGUAAGAAGCCCUUGUUGCUUGAUUGAACGUGGGCAUUCGAAUGUAUCAACACUAGUGGGCCAUUUUUUGUAAGCAGAACUGGCGAUGCGGGAUGAACCGCACGCGAGGUUAARGUGCCAGAGUAGACGCUCAUCAGACACCACAAAAGGGGUUAGUACAUCUUGACAGCAGGACGGUGGCCAUGGAAGUCGGAAUCCGCUAAGGACUGUGUAACAACUCACCU